rnacentral:rRNA from 1 species
AGCAGCCGCGGUAAUUCCAGCUCCAAUAGCGUAUAUUAAAGUUGCUGCAGUUAAAAAGCUCGUAGUUGAAUUUCGGGACUAAUAUGUCGGUCGUGCCUCGGUACGUACUGGUUUAUUGGUUUCUCCUUUCUGAAGAACCAUGAUGUCAUUUAUUUGGUGUCGUGGGGAAUCAGGACUGUUACUUUGAAAAAAUUAGAGUGUUUAAAGCAGGCUCACGCUUGAAUACAUUAGCAUGGAAUAAUGAAAUAGGACGUUUGAUUCUAUUUUGUUGGUUUCUAGGAUCGACGUAAUGAUUAAUAGGGAUAGUUGGGGGCAUUAGUAUUCAAUUGUCAGAGGUGAAAUUCUUGGAUUUAUUGAAGACUAACUACUGCGAAAGCAUUUGCCAAGGAUGUUUUCAUUAAUCAAGAACGAAAGUUAGGGGAUCGAAGACGAUCAGAUACCGUCGUAGUCUUAACCAUAAACUAUGCCGACUAGGGAUCGGAUGAUGUUAAUUUUUAAUGACUCAUUCGGUGCCUUAAC